AUUGAACGCUGGCGGCAGGCUUAACACAUGCAAGUCGAACGAGUGGCGGACGGGUGAGUAAUGUUUGGGAAUCUGGCUUAUGGAGGGGGAUAACUACGGGAAACUGUAGCUAAUACCGCGUACCAUCAGAUGAGCCCAAGUGGGAGUAGGUAGUUGGUGGGGUAAAGGCUCACCAAGCCGACGAUCCCUAGCUGGUCUGAGAGGAUGACCAGCCACACUGGGACUGAGACACGGCCCAGACUCCUACGGGAGGCAGCAGUGGGGAAUCUUGGGCAAUGGACGAAAGCUGACAGAGCCAUGCCGCGUGUGUGAAGAAGGCUUUCGGGUUGUAAAACUCUGUUGGUGGGGAGGCGUUACCCGAACAAGAAGCACCGGCUAACUCCGUGCCAGCAGCCGCGGUAAUUC
rnacentral:rRNA from 1 species